UCUUGUUCACCUCAGACGUUUGUGUUUACAACAAUGUGAACUUGAUAAGCUACCGUCUUCCAUUAGGAAUUUGGUAUACAUGGAUAUCCUUGAUUUAGAAUACUCGAGGAAUGUUGAAGUUCCAAAUGUUUUUAAGGAGAUGUUGCAAUUAAAACACUUGAUUUUCCCAGACUAUGGAAAUGAAAAGGUUGGAAAUUAUCGAAUAAGAUUGCAUGAGGGAGUAGAUGAGCUAGAGACUCUACAAAACUUAGAUAGUAGAUUUCAUGAAUUUAAAAGUCUUCACAAAAUGAAAAAUCUCCUACGUUUUGCAGCAAGAAUACAUGAUAAUGGAACCUUGUCAGCUAUCAUGAAUGCCAUUAUGAACUGGAACAAGAUAGUAGCUUGUAAACUUUAUAUUGAAGACAGGUGCGACUUAACAACAGAGAAAAUGCUGGAGAAGGCUUUGACAUGUCCCAAUCUUCAUAUUUUGUGGAUUAGUUCUAAGUUAGGGAAGUUAGGGAAGGUGCUAGCAGAGUGUGGGAGUGACUUGAUGAGUUCAAAACUUAGGUUUUUGGAUUUGUUUGGAUCCGAGAUUGAAGAUGAUCCAAUGGGGAUACUGGGAAAGCUUCCUUGCUUAAUAUGUUUGCGAUUAUAUUGGGAAUCAUUUGUUGGGGAGGAGAUGACGUGUCCAGCAAACAGUUUUCUCUGCCUCGAGAGGCUAAAAUUGAAAAGUUUACCAAAAUUGAGGGAGUGGAGAGUGGAGGCAGGAGCCAUGCCCUUUCUCUCUAAAUUAACCAUCGGAGACUGUUCUUGUCUGGAGAUGCUUCCAGAGGGGUUGAGCGGCAUUUCUACCCUUCAGACUCUUGUAAUUAAACAAAUGCCGAAAUUGAGAGAAAGGGUAUCACCAUCAGGACAGGAUUUCCACAAAGUCUCCCAUGUCCCUUCAAUUCGUAUCAAGGACUAGUCUUCACCCAGGUUGAAUAACUGAUCGUCACUCACUUUUGGUGCUUAAAGAAAACAUUUUACCUUCUCUAAAGGGUAUAUUCCUUGGUUAAAUUUUUGUACCGUCAAGCUUCCUCACUCUUGUUGUUGCAUUUCUCUGAGUGUUCCAUCUUAUGUUUUUGUGUAUAAGUAAUUAAUUAUUUAUAUAUAUACACCUUUCAACUUUCUUCAAAUACCUCAUGUGGGAUAGGCUUGUACUCAACAAAAUUAUCUACUAGUAGACAAAUUGAGCAAGCCAAUAUUGACAUGCUAAUUAAUUUUGUAUUCUACUAGUGGACAAAUUGAGCAAACCAAUAUUAACAUGCUAAUUAAUUUGUAUGUUUGAUCUGUGGCAAUGGUAGCUGGAAAUCAUGUUACUUUCAGUUUCAGUAGUUUCAACUAACCAAUAUGUCUACUAGUAGACAAAUUGAGCUAGCCAGUAAUGACAUGCUAAUUAAUUUUGUAUGUUUAAUCAGUGACAAUGGUAGCUGGAAAGCAUGUCACUUUCAGUUUCAGUAGUUUCAAAUAACCAAUGCAAGCUAGUAUGUUUAAAGUGCCUUAAAUCAAGCUUGAAUGAUCAUAUAUGACUAUGUCUCGACAACUCGAUCUCAUGCAACUAAAUUCUCUUGGCUAGUUAAUAGAGUCAUAUUCAAUCUUAGUGACUUUAGUUUAUUUUUUAUUUUGCUUCACGGGGUCUCGUUUUUCUUGCUACUUGUGAUCUUUAGAUAGUAGUUUGAGGAUUUUGUAUUGUUUACUAUAUGGGUGUGGCUUAGACUUGCUAUGUGAUGCAAGAUUCAUAUAUCCAACAGCCUGAAUUACUUAUGAUUAAUAUACAGCCUUGAGCCGUUUGAUUCUAAUUCUGAAAAUGAACUCCAACUCUAAUAAUAUUCAAUAGAAAAUUGAAAGAAAAGUUGUCUACUGACAUGUAUCAAACAAAAUGGAAAAGAAGAACAUGUGUCUACUGACAAAUUAAGCAAGCCACUAAUGACAUGUUAACAAAUCGAUAAUAAGAAAAUGUGUAACAAGUAAACAAGCCACUAAUUACCUGCUAAAAAAUGGAUAAUAAGAAAGUGUGUACUAAUUGACAAGUUAAGCAAGCCACUAAUGACCUGCUAACAAAUGGAUAAUAAGUAAAUUUGUAGCCAAUAAUGACCUGCUAACAAAUGGAUAAUUAAAAAUGUCUACUUGUAGACAAAUUGAGCAAGCCAAUUAUGACAUGCUAAUUAAAUUUGCUUUUUUAAUCUGUGAUAAUGGUAGCUGGAAAUCAUGUCACUUUCAGUUUUAGUAGUUUCAACUAACCAAUGCAAUUUAGCAGUAUGUUUAAAUUGCCUUAACAGUCUCUUCUUAACAUGCUUCUUUCGUUCCUUCUUUUUUUCACAUCUGAGCGUUGACCAAACAAUCAAAGCUUGGAAUUGUUGCAAUGGCAGAAGCAGUGGUGUCAAUUGCUCUUGAAACUAUCCGUGAUUUGCUAUUGGAAGAGGGGAGGUUUUUAGCUGGUGUGGGAAACCAAGUCAAGGAGCUCGAGAGGCAGCUCAAAGAAAUGAAGUAUUUCCUCGAAGACGCUGAUAAAAGACGACAUGAAAGCAGAACCAUCUCCCAUUGGAUCGCCGAGAUCAGAGAUCUCGUCUACAGAUCCGAAUCCGCCAUUGAAAGACACGCAGCUUAUCAAGUUUUUUCAAGGAGAAGAGGUCUCAGGCAGUUCGUCCGCAAAUAUUCCUGCAUUUUGACAGAUUGCAACUCACUCCACCAAUUAGGGAGACAUACAUGAAUGUGUAGAAAAAGGGUCGAAAAUGAGCUUAAAUGGCGAAAGGUGGAAAACGGACGAAAUUGCAGCACGAGGCUGGCGACUCGCCAGCUUCGCAUCAAUACCAACCUGGCGACUCGCCAGGUCCUUCGCCCAGAAUUGCCGAGAGCAGCUGGCGACUCGCCAGCUUCACCGUACAACGAACCUGGUGACCCGCCAG